rnacentral:rRNA from 1 species
GAUACCCUGUUAUUAUAAAUGUAAUUAAUAAAACUAAGGUAUUAAUAGUUAUGUUCUUUAAACUUAAAAAAUUUGGCGGUAUUUUAGUCUAUUCAGAGGAACCUGUUUUAUAAUCGAUAAUCCACGAUGGACCUUACUUAAAUUUGUAAUCAGUUUAUAUACCGUUGUUAUUAAAUAUUUUAUAAGAAUGUUAAUUUUUAAAAUUUUUUUAAAAAAGUAUAUCAAAUCAAGGUGUAGCUAAUAUUUAAGUAAAAAUGGGUUACAAUAAAUUUAUUUAAAUGAAUAUAAAUUUGAAAUGUUUAUUGAAGGUGGAUUUGAUAGUAAAAUUAUAUAGAUUAAUAAUUUGAUUUUAGCUCUAAAAUAUGCACAAAUCGCCCG